rnacentral:tRNA from 1 species
GGGUAGGUGCCCGAGUGGCUAAAGGGGACGGACUGUAAAUCCGUUGACUCGCGUCUACGAAGGUUCGAAUCCUUCCCUGCCCACCA